GGCGCACUGUCGGCUUUUGAGAAAAUUAUUGGUUUUUAGGUGCGCCUUAUAGUCCGGAAAAUACGGUAGCUCAAAAAUAUUCCUGAUUCCACUCGAAACAUACAUUAAGCAACACUGAAAUCUCAAAUGCAACUUAAACCCAGCAUUGGUUUUCUUUGGUGUUACUACGUUGGACAAUAAAGUAAUUUUUCCUUA